rnacentral:rRNA from 1 species
CAGCAGCCGCGGGAAUACGAAGGGGGCUAGCGUUGUUCGGAAUUACUGGGCGUAAAGCGCACGUAGGCGGACAUUUAAGUCAGGGGUGAAAUCCCGGGGCUCAACCCCGGAACUGCCUUUGAUACUGGGUGUCUAGAGUAUGGAAGAGGUGAGUGGAAUUCCGAGUGUAGAGGUGAAAUUCGUAGAUAUUCGGAGGAACACCAGUGGCGAAGGCGGCUCACUGGUCCAUUACUGACGCUGAGGUGCGAAAGCGUGGGGAGCAAACAGGAUUAGAUACCCCGGUAGUCCCUGUCUCUUAUAC